GACGAACGCUGGCGGCGUGCCUAAUACAUGCAAGUUGAGCGCUGAAGGCUGGUACUUGUACCAACUGGAUGUGCCGCGCACGGGUGAAUCACGUGUGUGGCAUGUCCCUUUGAGCGGGGGACCACCUGUGGAAACGAAUGCUAAUAGCGCAUAAGAACUUUAUACACAGGUUUUAAGUUUGAAAUAUGCAAUUGCAUCACUCAAAGAUGAUCCCGCGUUGUAUUAGCUAGGUGGUGAGGUAAAAGCGCACCAAGGCGGUGUAAUAUAGCCGAACUGAGAGGGCGGGUGGCCACAUUGGGACGGAGACACGGCCCAAACUGCUACAGGAGGGAGCCGUAGGGCAACUUGGGCAAUGGGUGGGAGUCUGACCGAGAAACGCCGCGUGAGUGAAGAAGGUUGUCGGGUGGUAAAACUCUGUUGGUAGGGAAGAACGUUGGUGCGCGUGGAAAGCUCCUCAAGUGACGGUAACUACUCAAAAAGGAACGGCUAACUACGUG
rnacentral:rRNA from 1 species